UACGUAGGGGGCAAGCGUUGUCCGGAAUUAUUGGGCGUAAAGAGCUCGUAGGCGGUCUGUCGCGUCGGCUGUGAAAACUCAGGGCUCAACCCUGAGCCUGCAGUCGAUACGGGCAGACUAGAGUUCGGUAGGGGAGACUGGAAUUCCUGGUGUAGCGGUGAAAUGCGCAGAUAUCAGGAGGAACACCGGUGGCGAAGGCGGGUCUCUGGGCCGAAACUGACGCUGAGGAGCGAAAGCGUGGGGAGCGAACAGG
rnacentral:rRNA from 1 species